UAAACACAAGAAGUUCUUUCAAGGGUGCAAAAGAUAUUCCCUUAUCUAUUGUGGUUAUAUCUGACAGAGAAUGGCUCUUUGGAGAUUCUUCCAGGGCAGACAAGAAUGCAGCAUACACGCUUCUUCUUGCUGAAAUGGUUUGCAACAAACACGGUAUUAAGGUUGAGAACUUGGUUGCCGAAAUUGUUGACACAACUCUGGG
rnacentral:misc_RNA from 1 species